rnacentral:rRNA from 1 species
AACGCGAAGAACCUUACCUGGAUUUGACAUCCUCUGACAGCUGUAGAGAUACAGUCUUGAGGGCAACCUCACAGAGAGACAGGUGCUGCAUGGCUGUCGUCAGCUCGUGUGGUGACAUGUUGGGUUAAGUCCCGCAACGAGCGCAACCCUUGUCCUUAGUUGCCAGCAUUAAGUUGGGCUCUCUAAGGAGACUGCCGUGGUUAACACGGAGGAAGGUGGGGAUGACGUCAAGUCCUCAUGGCCUUUAUAUCCAGGGCGACACACGUGAUACAAUGGACGGUACAGAGGGACGCCAAGAGGCAACUCGGAGCUAAUCUCAAAAAACCGUUCUCAGUUCGGAUUGGAGUCUGCAACUCGACUCCAUGAAGCUGGAAUCGCUAGUAAUCGCGGAUCAGCACGCCGCGGUGAAUACGUUCCCGGGCCUUGUACACACCGAUAGC